UAGUCCCUGCUGUGUUCGUGAUGCAGCAAGAGGUUUUGAGCCAACACUUGAUAAAUGGGGUUCGUUGUCCGGUGGGUAACGCGAUAGGCUUCGGCCAAGGCGAAAGUCACUGGUAGGAUCCCGCCUGCAAUAGCAGGUUCAAAAUCAAGCAGCACACGGCAUGGCGGGGCAGUA
rnacentral:other from 1 species